rnacentral:rRNA from 1 species
GAUGAACGCUGGCGGCGUGCCUCAAACAUGCAAGUCGAGCGGGGCUAUGUAAUACCGCAAGGUAGAACAUAGCCUAGCGGCGAACGGGUGAGUAACACGUGGGUAACCUGCCUGGAAGACAGGGAUAACGAUUCGAAAGGGUCGCUAAUACCUGAUAAUAUCCUUUCAUCGCAUGGUGAUAGGAAGAAAGGGGAAACCCGCUUUCAGAUGGGCCCGCGUCCCAUCAGCUAGUUGGUAAGGUAAAGGCUUACCAAGGCGACGACGGGUAGCCGGUCUGAGAGGAUGUACGGCCACACUGGGACUGAGAUACGGCCCAGACUCCUACGGGAGGCAGCAGUUGGGAAUCUUAGGCAAUGGACGAAAGUCUGACCUAGCGACGCCGCGUGAGGGAAGAAGGCCUUGGGUGUAAACCUCUGUCAGUGGGGAAGAAGUAAGUGACGGUACCCCAAGAGGAGGCCCCUGCUAACUACGUG